CCUACGGGAGGCAGCAGUGAGGAAUAUUGGUCAAUGGCCGAAAGCCUGAACCAGCCAAGUAGCGUGAGGGAGUACUGCCCUAUGGGUUGUAAACCUCUUUUAUCGGGGAGCAAAAGCCGCACGGGUCCGGCUUUGAGAGUACCCGCAGGAAAAGCAUCGGGUAACUCCGGUCCAACAACCGCGGUAAUACGGAGGAUGCGAGCUUUAUCCGGAUUUAUUGGGUUUAAAGGGUGCGCAGGCGGAUUUUUAAGUCAGCGGUCAAAUAGUGGGCCUCAACCCCAUCCAGCCGUUGAAACUGGGGAUCUAGAGUGUGCGAGAGGCAUGCGGAAUGCGUGGUGUAGCGGUGAAAUGCAUAGAUAUCACGCAGAACCCCGAUUGCGAAGGCAGCAUACCGGUGCACAACUGACGCUCAGGCACGAAAGCGUGGGUAUCGAACAGGAUUAGAUACCCCUGUAGUC
rnacentral:rRNA from 1 species